UGAGGAAUUUUGCGCAAUGGGGGGAACCCUGACGCAGCAACGCCGCGUGGGUGAUGAAGGCCUUCGGGUCGUAAAGCCCUGUCGGGCGGGAAGAACGUCCCUUCGGGGAAUGACGGUACCGCCAGAGGAAGCACCGGCUAACUCCGUGCCAGCAGCCGCGGAAAUACGGAGGGUGCAAGCGAUAUUCGGAAUUACUGGGCGUAAAGGGCGUGCAGGCGGGAGAGCAAGUCUGAUGUGAAAGCCCGGGGCUUAACCCCGGAAGGGCAUUGGAAACUGCUUUUCUUGAGUUCUGGAGAGGAAGGGAGAAUUCCCGGUGUAUAGGUGAAAGUCGUAGAGAUCGGGAGGAACAUCAGUGGCGAAGGCGCCCUUCUGGACAGCAACUGACGCUGAGACGCGAAAGCGUGGGGAGCAAACA
rnacentral:rRNA from 1 species